CAGGGCUUCUGUGGCAGCAGCGCCACCCGGCCCCCGCCUCCCCCCUCCAGGCAGCGUUGUCAGAGGUUGUCUGCCGGGGACACUGACAGUAACCGUGUGGUCAGGAGGUUUGACCAGCACAAUCUGCACCAUGAUGAGGACCACAGAGAUUUUGAAACAAGACAAACCCAGGUUUGAAUCCUGCAGUUACAGUUACUUCUUGGUCGUGAGGCUCCAGCCUCAUCGUGUGGCUUCUCUGAGGCUCAGUCUCCACGUCUUAAAGUGAAGAAAUGGCCUCGCUUCAUGCUCUGUCAUGGGGAUUAGGAAUAAGCAAAUUCUGAGCCAGCAAGUGCUGACAGGACGACAUCCUCGGCUCAGUUCUCUCAGAUGUUGUCAUACUUGCAG
rnacentral:lncRNA from 1 species